GCUGGCCAUGCCAGGCCCCACAGCAUGAAAGAUGUCAACCUGAGCUGAAGCCACUUCGAGGGAUGUGUCAAUAAACCAAGUGUUUGUAGACCAUGAGAUUAAGCAGUCAGCUUGCUCUGCAACACUGCUUUCAUUUUGUUGCCAUCUUACAAACAGCUGCCUCUGGAGCCACCUGCUGACACAGUGUAGAAUCCUUUGCAGCUAAGAUCACUAAGCAAAGCGGCUCUCCAAGCAAACAGGAGAGAAGCUCAAGAUUAGACUCUGCUCCAUGGACUUCCCACAGCCAAGCAGUUAAAUCAUCCUGAAAAUCUCACUGGUCAUGUGAAUACUCGGAUCCAGUAAAUGGGGUAGCCAUGUGAGGUCCUCUAAAACUCAGGGACCUUUGAUUGAAACUACUGUUGACGUGGUUUUGAGCAAGGAAUAAAUACUGAUCAUGGCUUGCCACCAUCUAUAUCUGCCAUAUCUUAUACCCAACAUGUAAAUGCUGGUAUUUAUUCCACAUGCAACAAAUAAGGAAUAUAGAUUCGGAAUCUGUCUCAAUUCUCCCAUAACAGAAUACUAGCAAUACAUCAAAUUUGCCAUAGUCCACUUUGCCCACUUAGUGAUUUGUUUCAAGAACUUUCCACCUGGGGACAGAACUUUUUCACAUGAAUGUCUGAAGAGUUUUCUGUAGAAGCUGAAUUGCUA
rnacentral:lncRNA from 1 species